CGAAAUAAGGACUAGCUCUAGAACUGUAUCUCCCUUCUCCCCUACCUCUCUCCUUUCUCCUUUACUGUCCUUCUUCCAGCCUUUCCUAUCAGGUUAGUUUUCAAUUUGUGUGCCACAGGAGUAAACAGUAAAUCUAUUCUAAUUACUUAGCCACACUGCUAUAAUUUGUUUUUCAUCUUCCAGGGAGUGUAACGAGGUUUGAAUUAACUCAGCUUGUAUCUUCAGGAGAUGACCUUGCAUUUUAUGAAGAGAAUACUCGAGAUUUUCUGUUCCCAGAGCCUAAGCUGACUCCUGCAUAUCCUGGUGUGGACAGAGAAUUGUUAAUGAAAACAUCUUCUCAUUUCCCAGGAAUAGCGCCAAAAAUAGAGUUCUCCACAAGAACAACCAUUACAGAGCUUCCACUUCAGCGCAGAGAGAAGAAUUAUGCCCAAAACAGAACAAGGAAUCAAAGAUCUGGAUCUGCAUCACCCAAACGAAGGAGCAGGUCAUUAACACAAUGCAAGACAUCAGUGAAAAGGGUGGACAGUUCCAAAUCAUUCAGUGAAGUAACCUCACCAUUGCCUUACUGUAAUGUGAAGAAAAGUGUGAGAUCAGCAAGAGAUUCUCCCAAAUUUCAUGUGAAACGAACUUUAACUUUUGAUAACUGCGAAACAUCAAAUACCUCAGUUAAGAUUGUCAGGGAACCAGCUGAACAGGCUGCUUCUGAACAUGAUUCAUCAUCUCUUGAAACAGAUGAACUUUUCAGUUACCCACAGUGUUCUCCCAGUUGGAGGCAUUUAGCUUUUCACCAUGCAGCUUCACCUGCAACCUCCCAACGCCUGAAGUCACCAAGUCCUGUUCGAAGUCCCUCUCCUCUUCAAUACAGGUUACAAAUUCAUAAUCAAAAUCAAUUACUUGAACAACAUUGUGCUGUGAGAGUACAAGUUGAAUGACCAGAAGAAUUCACAUUCUGUCUUUUUGGGCAAAUUGAAUUUAUGAUUAUCAGAAAAAUUUAAGUGGAAAAAUUGUGGCAAUUAUUCAGGAAGUGAUUACAUUGUAUGGGUAUGUAGAAAAGCUAUGGUUCAUCUAAUGCAGUUUUCUUCAUUGACUAGUACCAGACACUAGGUGUAAAAACCUCUGUUAGUUGAUAGUUAGCUUUAUGCCCUGAAAUGUGAGAUUUAUAUUCUAUGCAUAUUUUUUUCAUCAUUUUCUAUGAGACAUUUUCGUUAUCACAGAACAGUUUUCUGCCAUUAUCUGAUGAGUUCCACAAAUGACUGAAGCCUCAGGUAGAAAAAUACAAGAAAUGUAUUCUUUUUCACUGUUUUCACAUUUAUUGUUUCUAAAUUUUAUGGAGUGCUCUCAUGAUCCUUAUCUGGUGAGGAAUUUAGAUGCAACUUCCCUUCUCUUUGACAUGCUUUGGUUUGUGACAUGCUCUGCCUGAA
rnacentral:lncRNA from 1 species